UACGGAGGGUGCAAGCGUUAUUCGGAAUUACUGGGCGUAAAGGGCGCGUAGGCGGCCUCUUAAGUCGGAUGUGAAAGCCCGGGGCCUAACCCCGGAAGUGCAUUCGAUACUGGGGGGCUUGAGUAUGGGAGAGGGAAGUGGAAUUCCUGGUGUAGAGGUGAAAUUCGUAGAUAUCAGGAGGAACACCUGUGGCGAAGGCGACUUCCUGGACCAAUACUGACGCUGAGGCGCGAAGGCGUGGGGAGCAAACAGGAUUAGAUACCCUGGUAGUCCACGCAGUAAACGGUGAUCACUAGGUGUAGCGGGUAUUGACCCCUGCUGUGCCGAAGCUAACGCAUUAAGUGAUCCGCCUGGGGAGUACGGCCGCAAGGUUAAA
rnacentral:rRNA from 1 species